UAAGACGAACCGUGCGAACGUUGUUCGGAUUCACUGGGCUUAAAGGGCGCGUAGGCGGGCGACCAAGUCAGGGGUGAAAUCCUUCAGCUUAACUGGAGAACAGCCUCUGAUACUGGCCGUCUGGAGGGAGGUAGGGGUCUGUGGAACUUCUGGUGGAGCGGUGAAAUGCGUAGAUAUCAGAAGGAACGCCGGUGGCGAAAGCGACGGACUGGACCUCAUCUGACGCUGAGGCGCGAAAGCUAGGGGAGCAAACGGGAUUAGAUACCCCGGUAGUCCUAGCCCUAAACGAUGGGUACUAGAUUGUAGACUUAACAUGGGUUUACAGUCGAAGCAAAAGUGUUAAGUACCCCGCCUGGGGAGUAUGGUCGCAAGGCUG
rnacentral:rRNA from 1 species